AACGUUUGUAUCCGCUUUCACCGUGCUGUGCGGAGCCCGGACUGACCUCCCUGACAGGCACAUGUGUUGUGUCUUCUGGCUGAACAUUGCUGCUGCUCUGAUUCAGAUCCUGACAGCGAUCGUGAUGGUUGGCUGGAUUAUGAGUAUAUUUUGGGGGAUGGACAUGGUCAUUCUUGCAAUCUCACAAGGCUACAAGGAACAGGGGAUCCCACAGCAGCUGUAGUGGCUGGCACAAGUAUGGUCAGAGAAACACGGCGAGAGAUUUCCUUUGGCAGCUGUGGGCCAUGGAACUUUUUAUUACCCUUUGUCUCUCUUCUUCUUCCUUUUGUUUUGUUUCCUUCUGUUUGAACCUGGUUCAUCUGCCCGUCCAGCGGAGCGGAGAUGCAGAGCAGCCGGUGGAGACUUGCACUGAUCCCACUGAGCAGCGGAGAUGAGGCAAGCACAGCUUGGGUUGGGACUGGUCCUGGCCAGCACGUGGUGGGCAGCAGACGAGGAGGAGGAGGAGGAGGAGGACGGUGCCAGGAAAAGGAAACACCCUUGGUGAAGGAUGCACCUGGGCAGGCAGCUGAACCGAGGCAGUGGGAGAUGCUGCUUUCCCUCUCCUCCCAGGGGGAGGUCACUGAAGACGUUUUGCCUCCUUUCUAUGCUCACUGUUAAAGGAAACUGGCUGUGAACAUCAGCUGCCAAGGAGCUGUUCAUAGAUACAUGUACAGUGUGUAAAAGCCAACCAGUGGUACUUUUUUCCCGCCCCAAGAUUCCAUCUUUGACUGCUUUGCAGUAGUGGAGGGUUCAGCACAGCCUCCUCUGCUGUCUGUAUAUACGAUACUCAAUGAAGUUCUGUCCUCACAGAUGUCUUGAGAAACGUGCUUGCUGUAAAUCGUAUUGUACUGCUGAAGUGAUCUGGGGGCGUCCCCUACUUCCAUCUGCUGCCAACAUGCAAAGACCAGACCUCCCACCAGCCCUGGGGAGACUUUAUCCAGCAAGGGACCGGUGCCCCGCAGCUCCUCUAGGGUGGCGGGUGCAGCCACGUGCUGCCAAAAGCUUCUAGUGUGAAACAAUACUGGGGGAGCCAAAACCCGAGGCUUUUCCUCCCUCUGAAAGAGACUUGCUGGCAGUGUCUCCAUGAUUUGGAAAUGGAUCUCCUUACAGCGUGACGUGUGCUCCUGGCUCAAGCAGUGUCCCAGCUCCGCUUCCCUGGGGGUCAAAUUAGUCACCCAGCACUUUUACACCUCUUUCCGAAGCACUGCAGAGGGAGGCCACCUCUUCUGGGACAAUACCUCCACCAACACCAGGGCUGGAUAACUCUCAUCCUGAUUGCAGGAGCUGUGCCAUGAGGUGCCACACCACUACUGCCAACCAGCCCUGCCUCCUUGCCAGCGCAGCCAGAGGUCACAGCCCCGAACACUUCAUCUGGUCCAAAGUGCAUGGCACCCAGCUAUCCCAAUGCCAUCACCUGCUUUAGAUGUUUUAGAUGCAAAUUUUACAGCUAAAGAGUGAUAGUGGGUAACAACGAAUAAAUGCAGUUGCUUCACUCCCAUCUGUCAGCAACACAGAAUUUUCUGCUGCUCUUUUCUGAUUGUGAAAACCAGGUUUCUCAAAAAACCAAAAAAAAAGGGCUUUAAUGAAAUAGUUCUAUGGUACUUGAACCCAGCCGGGCUGAACAGCUGAUUCACUAGUCACUGGAAAGCAAUUCCAGGUAGGACCAAACCAAAUGUGUGUUUGAAAUGUGUGGCCAGUCGAAAACCAGUUUCAUCACUCUGGGCCAGCCCAACCAUUGCAACACAGAGCACAUUAACAUUUUUUCCCAGUUUGUUGGUGUUGCCAAAUCCAUCUUUACCAUGGAAAAGGUGCUAUGGCAGAUGAUCCCCACUCUCCUAGCCCUUUGCCUGACUAGCUCAGCAUCGCUCUCAGCCAUGGCACACAUGCCUGGAAAUUGCAGCUGGGAAGGUCAGCUGGGAAUGGCUCUGGCAUGCAGCCAUGUGGUAGGGAGUGUUUAGAUGUGCUAGGUAACCCCAUCUGUGCCACAUCCUGUGCUUCCCAAGACACAAAGCUGCAUGGUCCUCCCUACGUCCGUUUACUGUCACACAUUUUAUUAAAGAUCUUUCAGUUCUACUGGAAAUUGCCCCUUGUCAUAGUCUUGCCUUGAGUAUUGUGCCAAGCUCUGUGGACAGGAGAGUCACAGUCCCAGUAUUCUUUAGGGGGACUGUUUUAUUCCACCCUUGCCUUGCCUCCUGCUUGUUUUGGGAUGACCCUGCAGUUCACAUACAUGCACAUACUCCAGCCAGGGUGUAAUUUAUUGCUAUUCAACCCAAACUGCAUCCACUGCAAUACACCACCAAGAGUUCAUUUAAAGCCCAGAUACAAGGAGACCUAUAAGCUUGGCUAGAUCUGAUAUUCCUCCCAGUUAAAAGCAGUGGCUUCUCCCACAUGCUUGCUAACCGUGGUGUGGUAACACGGCCCUGUACGUUCUAGCAGACUUCACUUCACACUCGCACACACUUUGAGGCAGUGCUGCAAUUUAUUUCCCAAACUGGCACUCAGCAUUUCCAUCUCCCUGUGGGAGCAGCAUGCUGCGAAACCCCAGGUCACAGUGGCACCAGCUGAACCAGGCUUAAUUACAGUGAAUCCCACUAGAGCCCAUGCCACCUACAAGCUAUUCUUCCUCCUCUUGUCAUCCCUAAGCCAAGAUAAAAUUCAAAUCCUCCUCUUGCACCCACCCACUGACUAGAGGAAAGCGGAAACACCCAAUCCUCACUGCUGGAAUGGUGCAGUGGGAAGUGGAAGGCUUCACUUAAGCUCCAGGAGUGGCAAGGCGAGAGUAGCUGAAUCCAUCUUCCAGCUCUAAGGUUGCUUUCAGCAGGCAGGUGAGAGGGAAUGGAACAUUUUGGCUUGGGAUAAAAACAGGGGCUCAGCAUUACCAGCACUGCCUGGAGGUGAUGGCAGCUCUCUCCCAAAUACCCAACAGGUGAUCUCACCCAGACCACAGCCCCACUUCCACUCACCACACGCAGACACAGGCGCUGCUCCAGAGGCUGGGAGGGGGAUAAGUUUUCCACUGCUGGCUCAAGUCCAUGUUCUCCUUGGUUUUGGCCAUGCAUGGGUACAUCAGAUUUUUCCACCCUAGGAAGGAGGGAGCAAGGGCCUGCCCACCUGUGUCAUUUGCACCCUGCUGGUGAGCCCACCUUUUGUUUUCGUACUGAAGCCCAAACUAAGGGGUUGCCGAGGACCAUUUGUAUGCCUGUUUAUAUCACCAAGUAUUGGAUUGUGACUUCUCGUGUUUUGAUACUGUGGAUAUUUUUUUUUUUAAAGUUAAAUAUAUUCUAUUGCUGGACAGCUGGAAUGAAA